AGUCAUAAUGUGGCAUACAGGGUCCACUAGCAAAAAACCUCGGAUUUUCGGGGUUUUUUAUUAUUGAAAAAUCGUAAUAUAAUAGAUAUUAGGCCCUUUUUUAU
rfam:Candidatus Pantoea carbekii DNA, complete genome.